UUGUGUUGAAGGCCUUUUCUGCAUCUAUUGAGAUAAUCACGUAGUUUUUGUCUACCAAAGACCAAGGAUUAUAACUCUCCAACAAGCAAAAAUACAAACAGGGAGAAUGUUGUCUGUGGCACUUCCUCCCUUAUACCACCAGCUUUUAUAAUUAUUUCCCAUGAUCCCAGUGUCCUAUUGACUCUUUUUAACCCCCAAUAGCCCAAAGCUAUGGUGCCCAAACAAAGCUUCUGUUUUCCAGGAAACAGCUGAUAUUCCCAUUGUCGUAUUCCUUAUUUUUAUUCUGUAAGAGUGGGAGAGACAGUACAAGUAGGUAAAAGUUACAGGUUCUAGCAUCAGACCUGUCCUCCACUCCUGGCUGUUGCUUACUACCUGUGUGACUUGGGCAAAUCAUUUGUUAUCUCAGAGCCCUCUCCUUUAUGUGUAGAACAAUGACAGCACAGAUUACCUCAAAAGGUUGCUGUGCAGUUCAGCUGGGAUAAGCCUGGAGACAUGGGGGUGUUCAGGGACUAAGGCUGAGUGAGCGGCGCCAUAACCACUUUUUUGAAGGUUACUGGUUGGUUGAGCCAAAAGGAAAAGAGAGCUCUGAAGGAUGUCUCAGCACUUUUACAAGUUCCUACAGCUUAAUGGAAAUUCCUGGCGUGACUCAACUCUCGGUCAGUAACUCAGUUACUGGAAAGAUUUGGGAAGUUUUCUGAAGGAGGUAGAAUUUGAACUGGAUUUGGAUGUUUGGGUAGCAUCUCAGUAACAAGCUAUCAGAAUAGAGAGUGUGCUUAUAAUUUGACAGAAGUCUAUGGCGUCCAAGGCAGUAAUGUACACAGGUCUUUUAAAGUUGCAAGAUGGGUACACAAAGUUGGAAGCAGAGGAAUAAACUUGCCUGCUUGCGGAUAAUAAUACUGGAGGUUGGAACAUGAGGACAUUUUAAGGAGGAGAUGCACUCAAAUCUGGUGACUAUAGCAUCCCUGAUGGUCAAACUGCAGUGAGUUCUAAAUAACUAGAGAAGUGGCAGUACCACGUGUGGCACCAACACCAACUAUCCUGCUCUUUUAAGCACGGAACUUAAAGGAAGAGAACCCAAGUACCCUGCAAAAGCAUAUGGCUCAGCUACCUGUGGUUUCAGGGAGGACAAACAUGUAGCCUCCUAGGCAGCAGUCACGGGGAUGGGAGGCAAUGGGACCUCAUAUCAUGCCUCUUGUGGGAGAUGCAGGGGGUACAGUGGAGAGGUGCUGCAGCUCUGGAGAUGUCAAGCAUAUUGGCUUACCAAAGCAAAUAAAGCUGAAGCAUGCAGCAAUGCAUACACCACUUUUUAAAAUUAAAACCUGCAACUGUCCCAGGGAUAGUGACAUGGGCUGUCUUUAGACUGCAGCACUGCCCUUAGGUUAGCUGCAAGUGUGUAGAUACGGAGAUGCAGUUUGGAUUCUACGAACUGCCUGAUAAUCUCCAGUACUUGGAGACAAAGAUUUUUGGGUUGGCUUUUAUCCUGCUGAAAUGCAGGGCAAAGAUCUGAUCCUGAAAUUUAGACAAUCAUCACAGCUAUAAAUCAGAAAAACCUGGGUUCAAAUUCUGCUUGUGAUAUUUAUUAACCCUGUGGUUUUGACUAGAUAACCCACAUUCUUUAUAAACCUUAGUUUCCUUGUCUUUAGAAUGAGGGUCAUAAUGCCGCUUUCGCAGGACUUUUGGAGGAAUUAAAUGGUAUUCAGUUGGUGCAAAAGUAACUGCGGCUUUUGAACAGCAUGUGCAUACAGUGUGCAGUACAGUAUUUGCGCUAAGUCAACUCUCGAUAAACAUUUGCUGGACAGCAAAUGUGCUGAUGCUGAUGAGAUUAUCAACAUUUACACUCUGAAUGCUAAAAUGUGUUAGCUCCAUGUCUAUAAUGCACAGGGUGCUUGCAGGUAUGAGACCAUGGGCCACCAGUGCCAGAUCUUUGGAAGCUCUGGUGGAAGAACCGGUUCUUUCUUUAGAUAUCAUGACUUCUAGCUUCCUAUCUUAAGGAGGCUUCAGGAAAACUGUGAAACCAGCUAUAAGGUACUUCAGAAGAGGGCCAAAAAUGUCAUUAAAAAGAUGGGAAAAAUGAUUUGUAGGGAUACAUGAAUGGCCUCAAACAGAGAAGUAUGAGAUUCUUCAUUUAAUUCUAGUCUGUGGAAGCUUGGGUGAGGAGACUACUAACCAGAUGUGGUCCUAUUUUCAUUGCAGCUAAUACAAAACCAAAUGGGCUAAGGAUAAAGUUGUAUUCUUAGAUAUAAGAACUUGUUGACAGGAAGGGAUAUGAGGUAACUGAACAUGUAUAAAACAUCUUCACCUGGAAAUAUGUACAAUGAACCAAAGAUAACAGGCCAUAGUUCCGACAAGUUUUUCAAAAGUAACGAGCCGCAAAAUGCUGUUCUCGCACAAUAUUCACAGUGGCUUCAUUCAAAUUCACCAAAUAUAUUCAGAGUUUUCCCACUUUUCCCAUCACAAUAGUGAUGCUUUUCCAUAAAACAGAAUAAGAUAAAACAAAAAAACAAAAAGUCAGAAUGUGAAGAGAAGAGAAAGUCUAGGGAAAUUCAGCUGUAAGCCCUCUCCCUCAUUUCCUUUAUGGCAUGAGCUACAUCUGGGUUUUGCUAGUCUGCAUUCACCAGACUUUACCCAGCUCAUUGGAGUCGUGGUUGUAGUUGGGGAGUGUCAGGGAUAGGAAUGGAAAGGUGAGGAACCUGCCUGGGCAACAUAGUGAGACCCCAUCUCAACCAAAAAAUUUAAAAAAUUAGCCAAGCACGGUGGUGUGUGCCUGUAGUCCUAGCUACCUGGGAGGCUGAGGUGGGAGGAUGGCUUGAGCCCAGCAGGUUACAGUGAGCUAUGAUUGCAGUGCCACUGCACUCCACCCUGGGCGACAGAAUGAAAUCCCAUCUCACUGAUAUUUCAUAUAUUGACAUUUUAUCCUCAAUAUAGGAAAAAUGAAAAAGAAAGAAGUCUCACAGCCUCUGCUCUGAACUCUAAAAUGAGCCCUGUCUUUUCCAUGUCUGCCACGCACCUGGAGCUUGCUUCCCUCGUAUUUAACUUUUCUGCCUUAGAUCUCCCAGGGCCCUGGCUACGUGAAAAAGUACUUCUGUGAUCAUUCUCUGACUCCCAGAACAUAGGUAUUUCUCCUUUAUCUGGACUAGCCCAAACCCUUGAGUAUUCUGAGUUAUUCAAACUUCAGGUCAACUUUUUCCUACCCCUUUUAUAUAAGGAUCUCAAUCUUUUUUGAAUUUCUCCUAACUCAUCUAUACUUUUAUCCUCAUACUGAAUAAUUUCUUGUGUUCUGAAACCAAUCUGUCAUGUAAAUGACCUCAAGGAGAAGGGGUCAUAUUAGAUCACAUACUAGCUAGUUUUGGGAUCUUCUCAUUUUGUUUUUUUAAACCACUUAGAAGAUUAGCAAAGGGAAGUCCAAAAAAAGAAGAAGAGAAAUGAAGGCCUAAUUAGUGACAUCCAGAGGUGACAGAAUAAAACUAAAGAGACUAUACUUUCAAGUGUAAAGGUACUGGGAAGGGAAAUGUUUAUUUCUUUAUUCAAUAUUUAAUGAGUACCUACUAUGUCCAGGCCCUGUUUAAGCUGCUGGGGAGACAAAGCUACUUCCGGUCCUUAAAGAACUAAUAGUCUACACAGCGUUUCUCAAGCUUGGUAACACUGAUAUUUUGGGCAGGAUAAUUCACGUUGUUUGGCAUGGUAAACUGUCCUGUGUAGCUGCAGGAUGUUUAGCAGCAUCCUUGGCCUACACCCACUAGAUGCCAGUAGGCAUCCCACAUCUCCUUCCCAGUUGUGACAACAAAAAAUAUCUCCAGAUAAUGGCAAGUGUCCCCUGGGGGACAAAAGUGUACCCCAGUUGACAACCACUAGUGUAGGAAAAGCAGAUCAUUUAUAUAAACACACUGUGACAAGUAUUAUUAUCAAAACUUUGCAAGUUAGAGAAGAGGACUCCUUAAUUCUGGGGGAAAGAGAGCAGAUGCUACAGAAGGUUUCACAGAAUAAAUGACAUUUUAUGCUUAAUAUAUGAAAAAUGUUUUGCAGUAGGCCAAGCAGACAAGAAGAGGAAAAGUUAGGAACACAUGGAAGGAACAGGGAAAUAACAGGUAGAGAAAGACCAUUCGAAGGCAGGUACAGGAAGAUGAGCAAAGGCCUGGGGGUAAAAGACCACAGAAUAUUCAGGCAAUGAUGGACAUUUACAUGGUGGAAAAUGAAAAAUAAGACUGAAACCAGAUCAUGCCAAGUAAGAAAGGAGGUGGAAUUUUAAUAUAAAGAAAUAAAUGCAUAUUUUAAACAGAG